GGAGAGGUGACGGAGCGGCUGAACGUGCCGGUUUCGAAAACCGGUGUAGCCUUCGGGCUACCGUGGGUUCGAAUCCCACCCUCUCCG
rnacentral:tRNA from 1 species